rnacentral:rRNA from 1 species
UACGAAGGGUGCAAACGUUGCUCGGAAUCACUGGGCGUAAAGCGCACGUAGGCGGAUCUUUAAGUCAGGGGUGAAAUCCUGGAGCUCAACUCCAGAACUGCCUUUGAUACUGAGGAUCUUGAGUCCGGGAGAGGUGAGUGGAACUCCGAGUGUAGAGGUGAAAUUCGUAGAUAUUCGGAAGAACACCAGUGGCGAAGGCGGCUCACUGGCCCGGUACUGACGCUGAGGUGCGAAAGCGUGGGGAGCAAACAGG